CCACCCCCUCCCAGCAGCCACCCAAACAGAGAGCAUCGGACAUGUUUGGCACAACCCCCCUUUUUCCUACAAUUAUAAAAAGCAAACAGACAAAAAGACUAUCAUAUGCACAUACAUGCAGUUUUGUCGAACUGACACACUGGCAUGCAUGUGCAGACACAGGUACUCACACAGUACUCAUACAGUAUUAUACACCAGUACAUUAUGCAGCAGUAGGAUGUAUUUUGGCUCAAAAAAAUUAUAUUCACACUUAUAUAUUUUUUUGUGAGCAGACAACCCACAUAUUGCAUGUAAAUAACCCAUCAUACUUAUAUAUUAUAAAAAGCAUGCAAUUGUGAAUGGAAACCUCUCAUGUGCCUUAAUGUCAUAAUUUUAGCUACUUGAGAUUAGUGGAGCUUCUUAAAUCUGACCACACAAAUCACAACGUCUCACUGUGAGUCAUCCACUUUAAAAUAAACAUGAAAAGGACACAACACAUUUAAAGGCAAAUGUAAUGGGUAUCACAGCAGAUACCCAGGGAGAAUGGACAUGGAGCUAGAAAUAAUGUUACUGCAAAAUUUGCUGAACUUUUAUUAGGAUGUCCUAUGCUUCCUGGUUGGAACUGCAUAUGUGUAUUGCUUCUAUAUUGCUUUGUGUAUUCACACUCCACUGGUGCAGUUAUGUUGUGUAAAGAGAGAGCCCCAAACUCACCAUACAAAAACUUGGAACUGCUCUGAGCGGCUCCUGUGCUGUUGUGGGAGACUCGUACCAUCUCACCAGGACAACAGGUCAGUGAGGCUGCGAUCACAGAGGACACUGACUUCUCCAGCUCAAACUUUAAGCACAGCUACAGGCAAACAGAAAGCUAGAGAGGCACAAGGCAGACGAGCUCUAAAAGUUCUACUUAGCAGAUAGUAACUAACUUAAAGCUUAAUGAGCAGGAUGAGAAGCUCAAACAAAUAAUGUAGGUAAACCUUAGAUAUGUUGUAGUCACACAGAGACUGAAAGACACUGAAUUCAGCCUAUGAAAUAUCCAAGUGGAAGUUUUUUCCUGAUGACGUAAUACAUAAGUGCACUUUCAAGUCCACCGUUCACAGAUGUUCUAAUUGAUCAGAUAGAGAAAAAGAAAGGGUCCUCUAAAAUGAUAGAACAUAAAGGGGCGAAAAAACCAACCUCUGUCUUGGGUCUGGAGGAGCUGAGUUAAUUAACAUUUAAUCAAAUCAUUGCAUUGAACACGUCUUUUGUUGGUAUUGCCAUGCAAUUUCAAUGGGCUGUGACAUGUUAUCUUUUUAGCCACAAAAAGGUUUUAACAACCAGACCUCCGGGAGUGAUUACGUUAGAAAUCAGGAGCUAACGUUUGCUAGCUAGGGGGUCAUUCCUGUGUUCCCCGGGUCCUGUGUUCCCUGCAAUCUAUCAAUCUUUACGGUAGACUCUCAGCAUGGCCAGCAGGCCGACCAUCACAUGGCCCACCUUAACUCAAGCAGCCCAAAACUUAAAUUUGCACAGCAGCAACUUUCUGGUUACUUUGCAGUUCAUUUUUUUGCUUUUUAAAUCUAGAAUUACUCAUGUUUAUUCCCACCCCUAAUCAUAUUGUCUUGUGUCGAGGCUUAGUUUUUUCCCUUUUAUUAUCCUACCUGUUCUCCAUUGUAUUGUGCAGCCUUGUGGAGAGUUUAAAACAAAAUCUCAUUAACCAUUCACCUCUAAUAACGUUUCAUUUAAUUUGUUUAAUUAGAUCUGUUUCAGAUAUGAGUGCUGAGGGGAACAUAGGACCCAGGGAACAUAGGACCAGGGGAACAUAGGGCCCGGGGGAACAUAGGACCCGGGGAACAUAGGACCCAGGGAACAUAGACACGCUCCUCUAGCUAAUAGCCUGAUGCUAACAGUGUACAUAUUUGUGUUAAACUAGUAAUAUAAAAGAGAACCUUGCCAAAAACAAGUUGUUCAACAGUACUUUGGUUCCGAUGUUGUGGUCCCAGCUCCACACAAAAUAGUUGCAGUCCUCUCCACUGUUGGACACUUUCAUGUUGCUGUGGAGUAGCAGGUCUGGAGGACAAGGUUAUUUGUAAUGAUGAUUGCCUGCAAAUCAGUCAAGUUGGGGGAAAAUUAAAUGAAAUUUCUUAAUUUUGUUUAGCUCACAUCCAACAUAACUUUCAAUUUCCUGAAGGUACCUGCUGCUGGCAGGUUAAUUCAACCCUGCAAUCUAGGGACUUUCCUCUAUGUCCAAUUUGCGCUCUAUAUGGAUUUAUCACUUUCGGACCCAGGAAAAAAACGUAUUCUCAUGGCCUGACAAAGACAGCUUACAUGUGAUCAAACUAACCAAAAUGACAAUAAAGAUGCAGGUAAAUUCAGUGUCCUUUGUAAUUAGGCCUCAGGCAGCCAUUUUGUAACAGAUGACAACCUUCCUUAAAUAAAGCAAGAUCUUAUUUGGUCCUGUUUAACAACCAUCACUUGAUGGGGGCUGCUCACGACCACACAAUCAGAAUUGCAGGAGUGGAGGUGAACUGUUAGUAAAAGGUGUAUGAUUAGUUUGACUGAGUAUGAAUGCUAAUGCUCAUUUCAUCAUUUUACGCUAAGAGGAAGUGAAAGCUCUCAUCGAAACAUAUCACCAUGCUCCAUUAACUAACACCAUCAUUCCAGAUUCAUACACUCUAUCUCAAACUCUCUUAUAUAACCAAAGCAAAGUCUAAGAUCUAAGCUAAUUAAUGUGCUCAUCACACAGGUGUAAUCUCGUUGGGCAUCAUAAGCUAUAAGACACUAUGGUAUCAUUAAUUUGUCAUGGACUAUGGGGUCAUCCCUAUGUUCCCCGGGCGGGUUUUUCAAAAAAAGGGUCCUAUGUUCCCCUUUAGCAAUACAUACUGGGGAGCAUAGAACCCUUUUCCAGAAAAAGGGUUCUAUGUUCCCCACAAUCUAUCAAUCUUUACGGUCGACUCUCAGCAUGGCCCACCUUAGCUCAAGCAGCAGCUACUUUCUGGUUGCUUUGCAGUUCAUUUUUUUGCUUUUUAAAUCUAGGAUUACUCAUGUUUGUACAUUUCCACCCCUAAUCAUAUUGUCUUGCAUCGAGGCUUAGCAUUUUCCUUUUAGGGUUAGGGAUAGGGUUAGGGUUAGGUUAGGGUUAGGGUUAAGUUAUUUGCAUAUGCACGUCAAACAGCCCGUAGGCCUACAUAAGCCUAUUUGCCAUGGAAUUUGGCAGUAAUGGUGGAAAAAGUAACAGACCGGGGAACAUAGGACCCUUUUUGGGAAAAGCGGGGAAAAAGGGUCCUAUGUUCCCCAGUCUCAUACAAAGAGGGGAACAUAGGACCCGGGGAACAUAGACACGCUCCCGAGACUAUAAGCUUAAAAGUUGAGUUGUAAAUAGUAUAAACCAUGUCAUAUUUAACCUCACUGCAGUAGAACUACAGGUGAUUGGGCGCUUCAGCCACACACUGUGUGCUCCAUAUAGGCUACUAAGACUGCUGCACUUUGUUCCUCUCUCUGUCCCCCAUUUACUGUCAAUCUUCAGCUGUACUAUCAAAGAAAGGCAAAAAGCCCCCAAAAAUCAUCUUAAAAAAACCUCCAAACUACAGGUGUUUUGCAAGUCAACCACUCAAAGAGGAUGUAUUGCAAUAUCUGUAGGUUUUUAAAAAUCUGCCCCACAUUGAAACCUGUAAAAUUCAACUGUAGGCUAAAUUGGCUAUUGAGUUCCCCCUUGAUUGCCCACAAAAAUAUGCCUCAAUUCAUGUUCCCAAAGGAGCUGGUCCAUCACUCUUCCACAUAAUACGGCCAUUGACUUUUCCUAGAAUGGCUCCCAGUCCCCCCAUUUCCUGGUCCAAUGGCCCCUCUUCUUGGUAGACACUUGUUUGUGGAGUGCUCUGUUAUUGUCAGAUUGGGGGGUUGUAGGUCUAUAGAAAAUUCCUUGUGCCCUUUAAAUAAAAGGGGGAUGUCUGGCGUCACUGGUCUGUCAUUAGCAGCUGUGCUUUGAAUAGGGAUAGCUCAACAACAAGUCUGAUAAAAAACUACCUAUGCAGCUAUGUCCAAAGAAAUGAAAAUAUACAUUUGAAAUGUAAAAAAGUACUUUCAUGAAGAUAUUCAAACUAUUCCUUAAAAAAAAUGCUGAUGGGCAGCUAGCUUAAAGGGACAGUUUACCCCAAAUCAAAAAUGCACUUCCUUUUUUUAAUCAAUCUAGAAUUGUGUGUUUGUUGCCGAGUGUGGGAGAGCUGCUUCCUUCUCUCAAAUAUAAUAGGACUUUAUGGCACUUUGCUUGUGAAGCUCAAAGCUCCAAACAAUACAUUUGAAAAACUCAGCA